rnacentral:rRNA from 1 species
ACUCCUACGGGAGGCAGCAGUGGGGAAUAUUGCACAAUGGGCGCAAGCCUGAUGCAGCCAUGCCGCGUGUAUGAAGAAGGCCUGGUUGUGAAUGGUAAGCUUACAGUCAUGAUGAGGAAGGUAGUGGUAGUUAAUAGCUGCAUUAUUUGACGUUAGCUGCAGAAGAAGCACCGGCUAACUCCGUGCCAGCAGCCGCGGUAAUACGGAGGGUGCGAGCGUUAAUCGGAAUUACUGGGCGUAAAGCGCAUGCAGGUGGUUUGUUAAGUCAGAUGUGAAAGCCGGC